AUUGAACGCUGGCGGCAGGCCUAACACAUGCAAGUCGAGCGGAUGAAGGGAGCCUGCUCCUGGAUUCAGCGGCGGACGGGUGAGUAAUGCCUAGGAAUCUGCCUGGUAGUGGGGGAUAACGUCCGGAAACGGGCGCUAAUACCGCAUACGUCCUGAGGGAGAAAGUGGGGGAUCUUCGGACCUCACGCUAUCAGAUGAGCCUAGGUCGGAUUAGCUAGUUGGUGGGGUAAAGGCCUACCAAGGCGACGAUCCGUAACUGGUCUGAGAGGAUGAUCAGUCACACUGGAACUGAGACACGGUCCAGACUCCUACGGGAGGCAGCAGUGGGGAAUAUUGGACAAAGGGCGAAAGCCUGAUCCAGCCAUGCCGCGUGUGUGAAGAAGGUCUUCGGAUUGUAAAGCACUUUAAGUUGGGAGGAAGGGCAGUAAGUUAAUACCUUGCUGUUUUGACGUUACCAACAGAAUAAGCACCGGCUAACUUCGUC
rnacentral:rRNA from 1 species